GGGUUUCGAUCCUGGCUCAGAUUGAACGCUGGCAGGAUGCUUUACCUACCAAGUCGAACGGCAGCACGGACUUCGGUCCUGGUGGCGAGUGGCGAACGGGUGAAGUGGCUGUAUCGGAACGUGCCUAGUAGCGGGGGAUAACCACGCGAAAGCGUAGCUAAUACCGCAUACGCCCUUCGGGGAAAGCGGGGGACCUUCGGGCCUCGCACUCAUGAAACAGCCGAUAUCGGAUUAGCUAGUUGGUGGGGUAACGGCUCACCAAGGCGACGAUCCGUAGCUGGUUUGAGAGGACGACCAAGCCACACUGGGACUGAGACACGGCCCAGAACUCCUACGGGAGAGCGGCAGUGAAAUUUUGGACAAUGAAACCUGAUCCAGCCAUCGCGUCGUGCGUGAAGGCCUUCGGGUUUGUAAAGCACUUUUGGCAGGAAAAAAACGGCGCAGGGAUAUUACGUGCAACUGACGAAACACCUGCAGAAUAGCACCAGCUAACUACGUGCCAGCAGCCGCCACGUUUGACCAGCAGCAGGUGCAAGCGUUAAUCGGAAUUACUGGGCGUAAAGCAUGCGCGAGGCGGUUCCGGAAAAGAAAGAUGUGAAAUCCCGGAAAACUUAACUUUGGAACUACAUUUUUUACGCUACCGACUGAGUGUCAGAGGAGGUGGAAUUCCGCGUGUAGCAGUGAAAUGCGUAGAUAUGCGGAGGAACACCGAUGGCGAAGGCAGCCUCCUGGGAUAACACUGACGCUCAUGCACGAAAGCGUGGGGAGCAAACAGGAUUAGAUACCUGGUAGUCACGCCCUAAACGAUGUCAACUGGCUAUUUGGGGGCCUUCGGGCCUUGGUAGCGCAACUAACGCGUGAAGUUGACCACUGGGAGGUGAGUCGCAAGAUUCAAAACUCAAAAGGUGUGAGGACCCGCACAAACGGUGGAUGAUGUGGAUUAAUUCGAUGCAACGCGAAAACCUUACCUACCCUUGACAUGUCUGGAAUCCCGAAGAGAUUUAGGUGCUCAUGAGAGAACCGGAACACAGGUGCUGCAUGGCUGUCGUCAGCUCGUGUCGUGAGAUGUUGGGUUAAAGUCCUGGCGCCGGCGCAGCCCUUGUCAUUAGUUGCUACGAAAGACGCACUCUAAUGAGACUGCCGGUGACAAACCGGAGGAAGGUGGGGAUGACGUCAAGUCCUCAUGGCCCUUAUGGGUAGGGCUUCACCCGUGUCUAAUGGUCAAGACAGAGGGUCGCCACCAACCCGCAGGGAAUAAUCCAGAAACCCGAUCAAGUCCGGAUCGCAGUCUGCAACUCGACUGCGUGGAAGUCGGAAUCGCUAGUAAUCGCGGAUCAGCAUGUCGCGGUGAAUACGUUCCCGGGUCUUGUACACCGCCCAUCACACCAUGGGAGUGGGUUUUACCCGAAAUGAUUAGCUAACCGUAAGGAGGGCGAUUACCACGGCCAGGAUUCAUGACUGGGGUGAAAUUAACAAGGUAGC
rnacentral:rRNA from 1 species